UAAGCAAGAGCUGCCUUGGCUGUAGAAUUAACUAAUGGCUUGGCUGUAGAGAUUUGUUCACUUUGUGACUCAAGCUACGUGUGUCUGAGUCGUGGGUCAGUGAAUAUUUUGCCUUGAAUAUGUCUUUAAGAACUUUGGAAGUUGUGAAAAAUGGGUACUGCCCAGUGGGAGGAGAUCAAUUACAGGAGGAAUUUGGCACCCGGAGUAACUUCUGGCAGUGGGGGAUGCUCAGCAACCAGAAGAAUGUGAAUAUCAUUGACAAUGAAAAUUAUAAAUGCCUUUUUUUUCCCCCAAAAAAAGACAUUCUUAGGCUUGAAUAACACCUGCUUGAAAACAGCCAACUCGCUCUCAAGUUUUUCAGGAGUUUUACAUAGUUUUAGGUAACACCUGCAAUGACUUCAGGAAUUAGUUUUUUACCAGGAGCCUUUUUUCACUGAAUCUUCAAGUUGGAAUUGCAGUUUUUUCUCCCCGUGAAGGAGAUCUCUCCUAAAAUGUGAAUAUCUGUCUGUAGAGAUGCUUUAAACUGAUGGUGUUGUGUGGAAUAUUUGAGACUCAGGUGAAAUAAAGAAAGCUUAAUUAUAUUAAUUUGUUUUGAAGCAGAACUUGCAAAGCUGAGAUUUAUUUCUUCAUGCAUUUGCUACAAACCUUCAACCUCACAAGUAAUCAGAACUUGGUUAAAAUGAUUUUUUAGUUGAGAAGUAUUGGAUAUGUUGCUCAGACCACCCCAGGCAGCUCCUCACCUCUGCCACAAGCUAAAAUUGGGUUUUCUGUACAAGUUCUUGCUCAUGGCUGCAGUGGAAGGGAAAUGAUUGCAGAUGAA